UUUCUUGUCAAAUCAAUCUCCCCCACAGUUGUACAAUUUGAUUACAACUUAUUGUCUUGUACGUAUUGCUGUUGGGUUGGUUUGCCUUUUACCUAUUGUCUCACCAUGUUGAUGUUCUCCUUCCCUUCCCUAGUUAUGAUAAAUGUAU